CCUACGGGAGGCAGCAGUGAGGAAUAUUGGUCAAUGGGCGGAAGCCUGAACCAGCCAAGUAGCGUGCAGGAUGACGGCCCUACGGGUUGUAAACUGCUUUUAUACGGGAAUAACGCGCCUUACGUGUAGGGCUUUGCAUGUACCGUAUGAAUCAGGACCGGCUAAUUCCGUGCCCGCAGCCGCGGUAAUACGGAAGGUCUGGGCGUUAUCCGGAUUUAUUGGGUUUAAAGGGAGCGUAGGCCGCAUGUCAAGCGUGCUGUGAAAUGUCCGGGCUCAACCCGGGCCUUGCAGCGCCUACUGGCGUGCUUGAGUCCGCGGAAAGCAGGCGGAAGUCGUCGUGUAGCGGUGAAAUGCUUAGAUAUGACGAAGAACCCCGAUUGCGAAGGCAGCUUGCUGCAGCGGAACUGACGCUGAUGCUCGAAAGCGCGGGUAUCGAACAGGAUUAGAUACCCGAGUAGUC
rnacentral:rRNA from 1 species